CGCAGGCACUUUGUUGACUCUAGAGAACCUCGAGCCAAUCGCACAUCCACGUGACGGCGACUUUGCAUUCGGAUGUCAUCCAUAUCAAUGUUCGAUGCCGGUUUCUGCGCCUACCAUGGUGACCACGGGUAACGGGGAAUCAGGGUUGGAUUACGGAGAGGGAAUCUGAGAAACGGCUACCGCAUGCAAGGAAGGCAGCAGGUGCGCAAAUGACCCACUCCCGACGCGGGAAGGUAGUGACG